UACGGAGGGUGCAAGCGUUAUCCGGAUUCACUGGGUUUAAAGGGUGCGUAGGCGGGCAGUUAAGUCAGUGGUGAAAUCUCCGGGCUCAACCCGGAAACUGCCGUUGAUACUAUCUGUCUUGAAUAACGUUGAGGUGAGCGGAAUAUGUCAUGUAGCGGUGAAAUGCUUAGAUAUGACAUAGAACACCGAUUGCGAAGGCAGCUCACUAAACGCUCAUUGACGCUGAG
rnacentral:rRNA from 1 species